rnacentral:rRNA from 1 species
GACAGGCGAGGAAUCCGCAAGGAGGAAUCGUGCUGAGUGGCGAACGGGUGAGUAAGRCAUGGGGACGUACCCUCAAGAGGGGGAUAGCAUUCCGAAAGGGAUGGUAAUACCCCGUAAGCUCGAGAGAGGGAAGGUGCAACAGCACCGCUUGAGGAGCGACUCAUGGCCCAUCAGUUAGUUGGUGAGGUAARGGCCCACCAAGGCUAUGACGGGUAGUUGGUCUGAGAGGAUGGUCAGCCACACUGGGACUGAGACACGGCCCAAGACUCCUACGGGAGGCAGCAGUGGGGAAUUUUUCCCAAUGGGCRAARGCCUGAGGGAGCGACGCCGCGUGGAGGAAGGAGUCUUUCGAGAUGUAAACUCCUGUUGUAAGGGAGCAAGGGUAUAUGUAGUGGAAAGGCAUAUACUCRGAUAGUACCUUACGAGGAAGCCCCGGCUAACUACGUGCCAGCAGCCGCGGUAAUACGUAGGGGGCGAGCGUUGUCCGGAGUUACUGGGCGUAAAGGGUGCGUAGGUGGMCGAUAAAGUC